AGGACGAACGCUGGCGGCGUGCUUAACACAUGCAAGUCGAGCGGAAGGGCCCUUCGGGGUACUCGAGCGGCGAACGGGUGAGUAACACGUGAGUAAUCUGCCCCUAGCUCUGGGAUAGCUCCGGGAAACCGGGAUUAAUACUGGAUACGACCACCUUAGACAUCUUUUGUGGUGGAAAGAAUUUCGGCUAGGGAUGAGCUCGCGGCCUAUCAGCUUGUUGGUGGGGUAACGGCCUACCAAGGCGACGACGGGUA
rnacentral:rRNA from 1 species